rnacentral:rRNA from 1 species
GCAAGUUUGAAACUCAAAGGAAUUGACGGGGGCCCGCACAAGCGGUGGAUUAUGUGGUUUAAUUCGAUGAUACGCGAGGAGCCUUACCAAGGCUUAAAUGGGAAUUGAUCGGUUUAGAAAUAGACCUUCCUUCGGGCAAUUUUCAAGGUGCUGCAUGGUUGUCGUCAGCUCGUGCCGUGAGGUGUUAGGUUAAGUCCUGCAACGAGCGCAACCCCUGUCACUAGUUGCCAUCAUUCAGUUGGGGACUCUAGUGAGACUGCCUACGCAAGUAGAGAGGAAGGUGGGGAUGACGUCAAAUCAUCACGGCCCUUACGCCUUGGGCCACACACGUAAUACAAUGGCCGGUACAGAGGGCAGCUACACAGCGAUGUGGUGCUAAUCUCGAAAGCCGGUCUCAGUUCGGAUUGGAGUCUGCAACUCGACUCUAUGAAGCUGGAAUCGCUAGUAAUCGCGCAUCAGCCAUGGCGCGGUGAGUACGUUCCCGGGCCUUGUACACACCGCCCGUCAAGCCAUGGAAGUCUGGGGUACCUGAAGUCGGUGACCGUAAAAGGAGCUGCCUAGGGUAAAACAGGUAACUAGGGCUAAGUCGUAACA